UUCUCCUCUGCCGUUCUCUUCACCGGUUGUCCGAGCAAACCCACUCUCCUCCUUUUCUUCCUCCUUCUCCUUCCCGAGCCGUUGUUCCUUCACCAGCUUCCCGCGCUGCUACUUCACCGGCCACCUCCGCCACCACCGCCGCCGCCGCCACCACCGCGGCGCGCCGUCCCGAGUGCCGUGCGGCCACCACUCUUCUCGACCACUUCCAGUCGCCUUUCCCCCCUGUACCGCUGCUGCUGGCUAGCUAGUCCAACAACACGCAGCCACGGAACCUCGUUACGCUGAAACGAUACGAACGUGGUGGAAGUUCUCGCAACGGAACUUUAGUGCAGCUGCGGCGAGCAGCUGACGCGUUCGAGUCGCGUCGGUAGUCGGUGGUCGAGCUUGCCCCGCGCGAACGUAACCCGGUAACCGCAGCUUCGAUUCUUCGAACGGUGAUUUUCCGCGUACCGCGCGUGUGCGCGUGUGUAUGUGCGCGGCAUUUAUCGGCGAGAGUGUAAAGGGAAGGAGAGAGCAACGAGCGCAACGUUUCGAACGCAAACUAUCGAGCUUUCCCGCUCGUCAAAUGAGCCGAGUUUCGAUUCAUCGACGGAUGCGUAGCCUCGUCGACGCUUUGGCGCCGAGUAUAUCACGGAUGCGUGGCAAUACCUCGACUCCGGUAAGUCGACCUCGAUCUCUUUGUCUCCGUGCCGGUUCGCCGAUACGAACCAGCCAACGCAAUCAAACACACCCGUGACGAAUCAAGGACGCAAAGAUUCGUGUCCGCGUCGUAACGCGAUUCUCGCGAUUCGCGAUCGUUCGAUCGUUCUCCGUCCAAGAUGGAAGGAGAAUGGCGCGGGGUAUGGAAUGGACGGGACGCGAAGGAAAGAUUUUCGAGGAAAAGAGGAAGAAACGGUCGAAGAGGAAGAGACGGUAGAGGGUCGAAGGCGGCGCGUACCCAUCUGACAGCUGAGUACGCGCUACUAGAUGUCGCCAGUGACGCGUCGCUUCGCUUUGUCCCGCUGAUCGCGAUCGUCCGAGAGACUCGCCGGCUCUCCCCCUUCUUCUCUCUUCUUUUCCCUUCUUUUCCCUUCGUUUCUCCUCCUGUCUCUUCUUCGUCGCGUAUACGACGCUUGGCCGGCAUCGACGCUCGUAAACCAAGGAGCAACGAGGUAGGUAGGUAGCUAGGUAGCUAGGUAGGUAGGUAGAUAGAUGGAUGGAUGAAUGGGUAGGUAGGUAGGUAGGUAGGUAGAUAUGUAUGUAUGCGUGCUCGCUCGUCCAAGAGUUCGUAUACCGACGCACACGCGGGCAGAUGGUGCGCAGCAAGCCCUUCUCGUUCCACGCACCUGUUCCGUUGUUGUCGUUCCGUCACGGCGUGCCAGUGCACGCGACAGCUCGUGCCACUUACCUCCGGUUGCUUCUCGGCCGUCCUCGACGCUGUUCUCGCGUAAGGACGCGUCUCCCUUUUUGGAUCAUGUUGUUUGUUUGUUCG